CCUACGGGUGGCAGCAGUGAGGAAUAUUGGUCAAUGGGCGGGAGCCUGAACCAGCCAAGUCGCGUGAGGGAAGACGGUCCUACGGAUUGUAAACCUCUUUUGCCGGGGAGCAACGGGGUCCUUGCGAGGGCCCGCUGAGAGUACCCGGAGAAAAAGCAUCGGCUAACUCCGUGCCAGCAGCCGCGGUAAUACGGAGGAUGCGAGCGUUAUCCGGAUUUAUUGGGUUUAAAGGGUGCGUAGGCGGCCUUUUAAGUCAGCGGUGAAAGUCUGUGGCUCAACCAUAGAAUUGCCGUUGAAACUGGGAGGCUUGAGUAUGUUUGAGGCAGGCGGAAUGCGUGGUGUAGCGGUGAAAUGCUUAGAUAUCACGCAGAACCCCGAUUGCGAAGGCAGCCUGCCAAGCCAUGACUGACGCUGAUGCACGAAAGCGUGGGGAUCAAACAGGAUUAGAUACCCUUGUAGUC
rnacentral:rRNA from 1 species